UCAAACUUGGUCAUUUAGAGGAAGUAAAAGUCGUAACAAGGUCUCCGUUGGUGAACCAGCGGAGGGAUCAUUAUAGAGUUUUCAAACUCCUUAUAACCCUUGUGAACCUACCUGUAUGUCGUUGCUUCGGCGGGCAGCCCCUGGGAGGGGCCACGCCUCCUCGUGAGGUGUCCGCCGGAGGACCACUAUAAACUAUUUGCAAUUUAAGGCCUCUCUGAGUAACUUAUAAAUAAGUCAAAACUUUCAACAACGGAUCUCUUGGUUCUGGCAUCGAUGAAGAACGCAGC
rnacentral:misc_RNA from 1 species